GAUGAACGCUGGCGGCGUGCUUAACACAUGCCAGUCGAACGAUGAAGCCCAGCUUGCUGGGCGGAUUAGUGGCGAACGGGUGAGUAACACGUGAGUAACCUGCCCUUGACUCUGGGAUAAGCCCGGGAAACUGGGUCUAAUACCGGAUAGGAGCGCCUGUCGCAUGACGGGUGCUGGAAAGAUCUUUCGGUCAUGGAUGGACUCGCGGCCUAUCAGCUUGUUGGUGAGGUAACGGCUCACCAAGGCGACGACGGGUAGCCGGCCUGAGAGGGUGACCGGCCACACGGGGACUGGGGACCGGCCCAGACCCCUAGGGGGGGCAGGGGUGGGGAAUUUUGCACAAGGGGCGAAAGCCUGAGGCAGCGACGCCGGGGGGGGGAUGACGGCCUUGGGGUGGUAAACCUCUUUCGGCAGGAAAGAAGCGAAAGUGACGGAACCUGCAGAAGAAGCCCCGGCUAACUACGG
rnacentral:rRNA from 1 species